CGAAGCGGGAAGAGCUCAAAUUUAUAAUCUGGCACCUUCGGUGUCCGAGUUGUAAUCUCUAGAAGUGUUUUCCGCGUUGGACCGCACACAAGUCUGUUGGAAUACAGCGGCAUAGUGGUGAGACCCCCGUAUAUGGUGCGGACGCCCAACGCUUUGUGAUACACUUUCGAAGAGUCGAGUUGUUUGGGAAUGCAGCUCAAAUUGGGUGGUAAAUUCCAUCUAAAGCUAAAUAUUGGCGAGAGACCGAUAGCGAACAAGUACCGUGAGGGAAAGAUGAAAAGCACUUUGGAAAGAGAGUUAACAGUACGUGAAAUUGUUGGAAGGGAAACGCUUGAAGUCAGACUUGCUUGCCGAGCAAUCGGUUUGCAGGCCAGCAUCAGUUUUCCGGGGUGGAUAAUGGUAGAGAGAAGGUAGCAGUUUCGGCUGUGUUAUAGCUCUCUGCUGGAUACACCUUGGGGGACUGAGGAACGCAGUGUGCCUUACGGCGGAUUUCUCGAG
rnacentral:rRNA from 1 species